CCUACGGGUGGCAGCAGUGGGGAAUAUUGCACAAUGGGGGAAACUCUGAUGCAGCGAUGCCGCGUGCGUGAAGAAGUCAUUCUUUAUGUAAAGCUCUAUCAGCAGGGAAGAAAAUGACGGUACCUGAGUAAGACUCCCCGCUAACUACGUGCCAGGAGCCGCUGUAAUACGGAGGGGGCAAGCGGUAUCCGGGUUUACUCGGGGGAAAGGGGGCGUAGGCGGGUGUGGAAGUUUGGUGUGAAAGGCGGGGGCUCAACCCCCGGACUGCUCUGGAUACUGUACGGCUGGAGUGCAGGGGAGGUAGGUGGAAUUCCUAGUGUAGCGGUGAAAUGCGUAGAUAUUA
rnacentral:rRNA from 1 species